GCUAGUUAGAUAGUAAAUCCUGGUCAUUGAUUGAGGGGCGGUCAGGGGUUUUGGCAAUGCGGGUGGGGUUAAGGGUCUUGGUUCAAUGACUAGUUGGCCAGCUUUGCGCUUGGCCUUGGCAGUGGAGGUGGCUGAGCAGUGGACAAGGGCGGGGAAGAGUAUAUGGUGGCGUCUACCGACAUUGUUGGGAGACCUUAGAGAGUAGUACUUGUGAUGUGGGAAGGAGGUGGAGAUUGAAGGGUGUGGGAGGCUAAGAAAAAACCCACCGCAAGAGGGAGUAAAUAAAGGUGGAAAUAGUGGCUGUGGAGAUAGAGAAAGCAGUGUGGUAUGAGGAGAUGAUGCGUGGGGCUGUGGAAGUCGCUAGUGGUGUGUGGAGAAUGUGUCACAGAUUGCUUAAAAGCUUAUCCUGGAUGAUUCCUCAACUUCUCUACCAAUAUACAUUAUUCAUCAAGGUUCAAGCUACACCAAUGUACACCAUCCACCAGUCAUCAUCAAUCAAGCAAGGUUCAAAGUAAUGGUAGAGUUGGAUACAAUUCAGCCAAGUCGUGUUCAACUUUACCACUAAUUGUAGUAAGUAGUAGUAUUAUGCAUGGUUCAAAGUUGUAGUAUCGAUAAUUGACUUGGAGGGUUAUGAGGCAUAUCGGUCUCAACGUCUCGAUUUGGUAUUGGGCGACACGUAAAAUAAGAUAAUUAAAAUUUUCUAAAAAUUAUAAAAAUAUUAUAUAAAUUAUAAAAAAAUAGAUAUAAUUAAAUAAGCUCAAAAAUUUAAUAAACAAUUUUUUUUUUUCACAUUUAGUUCAAAGUUAUUUGUGAUAAUAUUAAGAAUUGGGGAUUUAAUUCUCAUCUUGCCAUAUAAAUACUUUAAUUUAUCAUUAAAUCUCAUCUAUACCUUUCAUAUCAUUUUACUCUAACCACUCAAUUCUCAUAAUAUCUUACUAUUAAAUCAUAUCUCAUACCAUCCAUAUAAAAGACAUUUUUUACUUUACUAAUUUGAACUCCCAAUCUCCCACCCUUGCUAGCCACCAUUGUUGUCAAGACCAUCGCCUGCAAUUGCAAAUUUGAAACCGUGCAAGACCUAACACUGGUAUAAUAUGGUAUGCAAUCCUUACAAGUUCUAAAACCAUGCCGUUCUACAUAUCUAGGCCUAAAGCGAUGGGGAAAUUGAAAAUAAAUUUUAGUUGUAUUUGAGUUAACAAAGAAAAAAAAGGCAGACGAUCAAACAAACUUUAAACAACAAAAGGGUAAAUUAUAGAUGACAUCUGAGCAUUCAAUGUAAAACGAUCAAUCUCUUUAGGGAGCUCAAGCGUAUCAUCAUGGAGGGUGUUCAAGUGCCCUCUACUUUUUAUUUUCCAAAGGUUUUAUAAAGUCAUGAAAAUUUUUCACUUUUCAAAAGGGGUUUUACAUAAUUAGAAUUUAGGGUUUUGAUAUAAAAAUAUCUUUUUGUGUAGGGGAAAAGUGUCUUUAUAAAGACAAAAAUAAAAAUAAAAAAAUAAAAAAUCAUAAAACAAGAAUUAAAUUCAAAUACAAUACUCAUUAUGAUUUUGUACACUUUUAGGCAAAAGUAUUAUCUUUGACUAUAAAACCAUAAAACUACAAAAUAAGAACGCAAGUUUAUAAAAUACAAAUUUUAAAUACUCAUAUAAAAAUAAUUAAUAUUUUAUGUUUUUUAUUUUUAUUUUAUAAAAUGUGUUAUCUUUGAUUAUUCAAGUAUUACAUUUUAAUGAGAUAAGUAUUAUCUUUGACCUUCUUAGGUACAAUCUUUAACUUAUAAGUACAUAAAAUUUAAAUUAUUUUUAGAUACUAUCUUUGAUCAUUCUAAGUACUACUUUUAAUUUUAGAGUGCAUGAAACUUGAAUUAUCUUUCGGGAGUUAUCAAUUUGUGUUUAUUUUCAAAUUUUUGAAUGAGUCAUUUAAUUAUUCCCUAAAAUAUUCUUUCUACUUGCCAUCAACAUUCAUUGAAAACUAGACUCCUCCACGUAAAUAUUAAGGGUUUCCAAUGGUUGGGAAGUAGUAUGCCUGAUUCACUUUCAUAGGAAUUGAUAGACUAAAGAUACAAAUCUGAAAAAAAAAAGGUACUUGCUUUCAUCAACUUGUUAAUAUUAGGGAUAUUGAUUAAUUGUCUAGAAGAGAAGAUCAUCUAGAAUGAUAUAUGAGGAAUUCAAAGGCAACUAUUGGCUCUAAGCCUAUGCAUAUGAAUCAGAAGACAGUUCUACCUUUUCAAAUUGUAGAAGACAUACUAAGUACAAGACGAUGCAUUUAGGCGGAGGAGUUUAGUUGUUAGUUGAUGUUAAUGACAUGACAAGUAAAAUGACAUUUUAAGGAAUAAUUAGACGAUUUAAAAAAUUUAGAGUUAUUUUUUUUCAUAUUUUUCAUACUAGUGAGUCAUAAGUCACUUUUCCUAAUAAAAAAAAUAGUAAUAUGACACCAAAUUCUACUCGGGAUUUUAAUUCUCCGUGCCACGUGAUAUCAUAAAUGAUUUGAGAAAGGGAUCAUAAAAAAAUAAAUAAAUAUAUAAGAACUUAAAUAAAUUCAUUGUUGCAUGCAUUUUAUUUGUGAAAGUAGUGUUGCGCAUAAUAACAUGAAGGUGGUAAACAGAAAUCAGUCCCAAACAUCAAGAGACUGCAGAAGAAUGCUUGGCUUGGUGUGGUCAAAUGUUGUAAUUAUUUAAUUAUGAGUUUGUUGAAUGCAUUUAAUUGCAAUUAUUUUUUCAAGAAUUUAUGUAUAUUAUAAAAAUAUUAGGUUUGAUAAUUGUUUUUUGGUAUGAAGACCAAUGGUAGAGCGACACGUGAAGGGAUUUUUUGAGAGGCCGUUUCUUUAGGGUGGGAUUCUGCAGGCCGUGAAAAAGAAGGGGGCAAGAGUGAGCUGGUUUGGGGAGCAAAGGAGGGAGAAACAGAAGAGCGGAAACGGUGAGACUGAGCUGUUUUUGGGGAGAGAUGUUUUUCGGGAGGUGGUUUUUUGAGCUGAACAGAGGAACAGAUUGAGUACCGGCUGAAGGAGGAUCUAGAAGAGGAAACAUGAGUAAGGGGGAUUUUUUCUGAGUUCCCCAGAGCAGAAGAGGAGCAUUGGGAAGGACUUCCAGGUAAGUUUACUUUGUAUUGUCCAUUUUCUCCCAUAUCAUACUAUUUUCUUUCUUUGUUGUUGUGUUUGGUUGGCAUUUGUUGCUUGGAUGUGUGAAUCAGAGAACACAUUGAUUCCAGCUGAUUUAUGGGUUGUAUUGACAUUGCCAUAGUUGUUUCAUUUCCUUUGCCUUGGUUCUGUUAGGAUUAUUUUGUCCCUGUUUCAUCUGUGUUUGAUGCUUGAAAAUCAUGCCAGUUGUUUUUGUUAAUUCCACCCGUCCUUGGCCCAUGGAUGUCGCCUGAAAUGAGGCUCUGUACAUUCGUUAUCCGCUUGAUUUCCUUUUGUUAUUUCUUCAGUCCUUACUCUGCCUCUAUCUCUGCUUUCUAUUCCUCUAUUUGUGGUAAGUUCGGGGUGUUGAGUAUUCCAGCUAGGUUGGCCAUCUUGGUUGGGGUGUUUCUGGGAGUUGCAACUCCACUACUAUAUUCUGUGGAUCCUUAGCUGCAGACUCUGAUGUUUGAGCAUGAGGAGGGUCCGACUGUGAAAGAGGUAUUUCUCGAUUUUAGGUCGCAAGGUGUUGCUGCAGAGCAGAUUGGUGAUUUGAUCAGGAAAUUGAAUGAUGGUAGCCUUAUUCUUGGUGGUUUGACCAUAUCGAGCAUUGCUUGGGUAGCCUGAAGUGGGGAUUCUUACAGGAGCAGGCAAUGCAGAAAGCUAAGAAGGAGAGAGAGAUGGUGCAGAAUAUUGCCUCUUCUAGUUCAGCCAAACCCACAACCUGUGAUGAAGUUUGCCAGAUUAAGUCAUCGCUCCAUGGACAUUGUUCUUGUCACUCGAGAAGAGUGGUGAUUGCUCUCAGAGUAAUCGACAAGCAUGAGAUGAAAAUAGCAACUUAUUGGUGAUUGAGUAUGGGUUUUGCAAAUCCAAAGACCAUCAAACCUUAUCAAUGCAAGAAGAACCUUCCUAUCCUAACUCCUAUGACCUUCCAUAUAAACACUCAUUCGUGGGGUAUAGAAUCUAUUCCCUCAAUCCCAGUUCUUGAUUUCUCUGCUCAAAAUGGCCACCCCGCUCUUUGCGGAUAUUGACAGUAAGGAGAACCCAAGAAUAUGGUUGUCAAGUAGGCAUCAUUAGACUUGCAGGUGGAGCCCUCAAGAAAGCCUCUUUAUGCUUAUUUAAUUGUGGUCCUACUGGUUCUAAAACAUUGCUUAUUGAUGGGAUUGACUAAUAAGUAUCAUGCAAACAGAUGGUGGGAAUUUUCGGUAAUUAUUUGAAUGAAGAAGAAACUUGAUGGACAUUCACUUGGGAUUGAGGAGAGCUGAAAAAGAGGCUAAUUGACAUCCAAGUCAUGCACUAGUUUACCAAUCAUGUUAUCAGAUGAAACUUCAUAGUUUUCUAGGGAAAAAAAAUUUAAAUGGUAGUAAUGAGACGGAAGGCACUGUUGGUUGGAAGCUUUCAAGCAGUCCAUGAAUACUUCACCUUGCCCUAGUCUCUCAAGCCCCAUUUUUGUUUCUUCACACCAUACCCCACGCCUACAACCCCAUCACAAGCUCAUCGCCUUCCCAUCUUUCAUACCCACCAAACCCAAAUCUCAAACCAAUCAUCCGUCAAACUUUCCAACCUCCACCUCCUGGUCUGCCUGCUCUACCCAAUCUGACCCCAUCUGUUCCACCCAACAAGUGCCCCAACGCCAUCCCAGAUCCGAAGACUGUGCAGUAUGUGGAGAAUGACUGUGGAUAUUCCAUGAAGCUCAGCAACUACCAUCUAGGGGGUAUCCAUUUGCAUCUAACGAACAAGGUUUUGAUGUGUUCAACACUGCCAUUGAUGAACCAUUUGAAUCCACAUUAGUCAGUACAGUACCUCUAAUUGUUGGCGCCACAUAUUUGGCUUCCAAUGCAAUUGACUCUUUGCAUGGCCACUUCCUGUUUCUAAAUGCUCCAUCUAUCGGCGUACUAUGAAGCAACUUCUUUGCGUGUAUCUAGAGACCACUCGAUUCCCUUAACACCUUUCCACCACUCAUCCCUUACUCUUUGCUUUCUCCACAAAUUCAAUAGCACCUUGGAGUUUUGCCCGAAAGACACGAAGCAUGCCUUAAGAUUGGAAAAGCGAAGGAUGUACAACUAUUGUGCUUAUGAUUUGCUGUUCUUGCAUUUCGGAACCUCAAAUGAAGUGCUUGAUUACCUAAGCGAGGUAGGCUCAAAGCUUGUAGAUCAAAGACACUUGUGUUCUGUUCUAGCAAUCAUCAUACCUAACAUUUUCACUAUGUGGGUGGUCAUUUACCUUAUCUGUAUUUCCGUCCAUGGAGCUAGGUUAAUAGCACUGAAAGAGCUUAUGGAGAUGGAAGAAAAACUUGUCAGAAAGAAUCGCGUUUUGUUCAAAUCAAAACUAGCUGUUGGAUCGUGGUGACAGUCUUCAUGCAAUGAGAACAAGGUUGCAACUUGCCUCCAUAUUCUUGCUGAAAAUAGCUCUCAAUGCCCACAAGCCAUGACCUUCAGAAGAAUCAAUUCAGUGGCUAAUCGCCAUCUCUCAUUGGCUCACUGGAAUUGCAUUGCAAAAUUCAGCUCAACUGAGAAGUUUAUCAUUGGUAAAUUGCAAUUUGGUUGGUCCUCUGCCAGAACUUAUGGAUGUGAUUCUUACGGAGAAGUCGCGGUUCCGAACAAACUGAACUUGGUUAUCCUCAUGAUAAUAGAGGACCAUGGAAGUUCUUAUGAAGAAACACAAUGAUUAAGAUGUGAAAGAUGAACAGACAGUGGAUAUUCUAGCCCUGGAGUUGGAAAAUGUUCAAUCAAGCGACACUUUCCAGCACUAGUGAGAAGAGCCUUUUGCAUCUCGUCAAUCACUAUUCUCACUACCCAAAGCAUUUUGCCAUUGUUUUGCUUUGUUGCAAAGAUCUUAAGUCUUGAAGAUGAGCUGUCAUCCGACAGUGAAAUGGGUACAGAGAGGACUUUCUUUUCCAAGUUCCUAAAUAAGUCACAAUCCCUGGUAGUUUUCAUGUACAAGGGUCCUAAGUACCUUUCGCCAAAUUCAUCUGAUUCAAGAGAACAUCAGCUAAAGGAAGCAAAUCACCCGCGCAGAUUUUGGUGAGAGCCUGAAGUAUUUAUAGCAAAAUGGUGGCGUAGGAACUAUUAUUUGGAACUGCAGAUGUUGAUGGUGAGAAAGGAAAUGGAGCAUAUGGGUAUGCCCAAGUCUCCACGGAUGGAAAAUGUCACCAACUUUGUUGAAGUUGAUCCUACUGUAGCUUCAUUAUGUGAAAUGGAUCUGGGUAAAAGAGAAGGCAAGAUAUCUUCUCACCUCCUUUGUUGAUGGACUCGUUAGUGUCAGCAGAUUCUUGCGAAGACUUGCUUGCACCUGCUCAAAAUUUGUAUCCUAGAGAAGAUACCCCGGGCCCAUUUCUACACCCAUGCAUGGCCACCUUUGGCAUGCAAUCCCAUCUUUGCACCCCGGACCCCACUCUUGCAUGGCAUGCAUGGCCACCUUUCGGUGGGUCAGUUUUUUUAAAAUCCUUGUCCUCAUUUUCUCACUUCUUCAUCUUUUGCUGUCAAAAUUUGAUUUUCAAAACUCCAGUUUUUCAAAUAAUUUUAAUUCUACUCUGGUUUUCAAAUAAUUUUAGUUUUUUUUUUUCUCCUUCCUUAAAGUCUAGAAUCACCAAAAAUCCCGUUUUUAAUAAACUUGCUGCCUUUUUCCUCCAAGCAAACACUUUCACAAAUUUUCUUUGAUUUUAAAAUAAUUUUCCGAUUUUCUCGUUUUUUUAUAAAUAUGAAUGAAUUUUCAUAAUUCCAAAAUAAUGGAAUUCAUGAGAUUAAUUCAUGUCAAAUCAAUUGGGCUUUGGUGGGGGCCCUACAUAUGAGUUUUCUCCUCUGAUUGUCAACUGCUAUGCUUAAUGAAUUUUGUCUGAUCUCUGUCAUGCUCUUUGAUAUGCAUGUGAUAAUUUUAUACACGAGCUAACCUUGUUUCCAUGAUAACACAUUCUUAUUUGCUGCUAAGGUACGCUCCCACUCUCACUUUUUUUAUUUAUUCUCCAUGCAUGAUUGACUUCCAAUGUAUGAAUAUUCCUUGAUAUUAAUUGAUUUCCUUAUCAAUUGUCACACUUACUUCACCUUAUUUAGUAGAAACUCGUUUUUAAGGGGUUUAGCGGGGUGCUGUGGCUCGUCACCGUAUCUUCUCAAUAGGUAACUUGACCUCCGGACCCAGAUUUGGUUUUCAUAGACCAUUUUUUCCUUUUAGGAGUUGCACCUAGGGUUUUCUUUCUUAUUUUGUUUUCUGUUAAAAAAAAAAAAAGUAGUCGCGCCAUCAAGUGGGGAACACAUCAUGAAAAAUGCGAGGCCCACAACUAGACAUAAAAAUUAUUUUUAAAACAUAUUUAAAAAUAUGUUAAAAAGAAUUCAAAUUCUCAAAUAAACUUAUGUUUUAAGAAACAUUAGAAAACGAUUUUUAAAAACUAUAAUAAAAAACUAUUUUUGAAAAUAGUUACCAAACAGAGUCGAAACAAAGUCUUAUGUUUGAUACUUUUUUUUAGUAAUUUUUUUUGUAGUAUUUUAAUUGAAUAGUUGAUUUGAUAUACUGAUAGUGUCUUGAGACAUUGGAGAAAGAAAUGGAAUCGAAUAAAAAGAAAUGGAAUCAUUGUUUCUAGAAAUUAGAUGGUAGAGUCCAAGAGAAGGUUGGGCACUACCUUGAAUUAAUGGAUGGUUGAUGAGCAAAAGAUAGGGAUGAAGGCAUUGGUGGUGGGUGUUCUCCUUAAGUUUCCAACCCCAAAUAUGGACAAAAAGGAUAAGACUUCUCCCCACAAGUAAAAGAGCAGCAAAGUGGAAUAUGCUAGGGUUUUAAGCAUGAAAAACAGUCAUAAUUUCCACUUGUUUAUGUCAUCAAUCAUGGACAAAAAGGAUAAGACUUCUCCCCACAAGUAAAAGAGCAGCAAAGUGGACUAUGUCAGGGUUUUAAGCAUGAAAAACACUCAUAAUUUCCACUUGUUUAUGUCACCAAUCAUGGACAAAAAGGAUAACACUUCUCCCCACAAGUAAAAGAGCAGGAAAGUGGAAUAUGCUAGGGUUUUAAGCAUGAAAAACACUCAUAAUUUCCACUUGUUUAUAUCAUCAAUCAUGGACAAAAAGGAUAAGACUUCUCCCCACAAGUAAAAGAGCAGCAAAGUGGAAUAAGCUAGGGUCUUAAGCAUAAAAACCCUCAUAAUUUCCACUUGUUUAUGUCAUCAAUCAUGGACAAAAAGGAUAAGACUUCUCCCCACAAGUAAAAGAGCAGCAAAGUGGAAUAUGCUAGGGUUUUAAGCAUGAAAAACAGUCAUAAUUUCCACUUGUUUAUGUCAUCAAUCAUGGACAAAAAGGAUAAGACUUCUCCCCACAAGUAAAAGCGCAGAAAAGUGGAAUAUGCUAGGGUUUUAAGCAUAAAAAACACUCAUAAUUUCCACUUGUUUAUGUCAUCAAUCAUGGACAAAAUGGUUUAGGGCCAUCCAUAUCUUUUUGGAAAUGAGCUUGAUUUGAUGUAUUGUUUUCCUUAAGUAAUGCAAGGAAAAAGUCCAAAAAUACGAAGGCAUGCGGGUAUGGAUUGUGAAUAAAUUAUAUAUGAGUCAAACUUAGAUCCACCUCUCAUCAUCCAAUAGUGUCUCUCUCCCUUUCUCUCCUACACCAUCUCCCCUCAUCUCCCCCAUGGCACCAUCUUCUCCCUCCGCCUGUCUCCUCCAAACCACCCAUCUCAGAACCUUCCUCAUAAUCUCUCUUCUGGUCUUUGUGCCCCCCAUUCAUGCGCUGAAACUCCCAAUUUGGCCGCGGGACAGACAGCUCUCAAGGCCGAUUCUCAACUCCCUCCACAGCGCAGUGGACCUUCUGCCCACUUUUGUGGGCUCUGUCUCCUCCAACGAGACUGUCGAGUGGACAGGAACGUGCUUUUACAAGACCAGUGCUUGGAUGGAGUUCAACAACAAAAGUGGGAGCGAAUUUGGUGGGGGCACACUUCAUAUUAAGGUUUGGGUUUGGUCUUGGGUUUUGAUUGUUUUGUUUGAUUUUGAUUGGUUUUGUGGGAAUAGGGAUUGUUGGGCAUGUGGGUUUUGGUUGUUAUUGGACCUCAAUGAGGUUUCCCGGAUUUUCAUUUGAGGGUGGGCAGUCACAAACGUACCUGAUUCUUUUUUGUUUUUAAAUUUUACUUAAUUUUAUGAUAUUUAAAGUAUUGGUGAUUAUUUUGUGUGAUUUUUGGUUGAUUUUCUGGAAAUUUAGAGUAUUGGGAGGUGGGUUUAGUUUUUCUUGAAUAGCAAUAAUCUUUCAGGUCUGUGAUGAGAAUACCUGAUUGGGGCACUAUCUUUGCCUACCUUUUUAUUUUUUAUUUCUAAGGAAAAUGAUUUUCACAGUGAAAAUUUGUAAGAGAAUUAAAUGUAAUUAAACUUAGCAAAAAAUUAUAUAUUUUUAAACCAUUUAAUAUUUGAAUAGAAGAGAAAAAAAUAAGUGAAAUCACUUUAAAUAUAAAAAUAAUUUAUUAAUUUUAUUUAUUUAUUUUUUCUACCUUCUACUUUUCCUUUUUAUUUUAUUUCCCUUGCAUUUUCCCUCAUAUUUUUCAGGAACCAAACAUAUAAUUAGUGUUUUAGAGUAUUGGAUAUAUGGGUAUCAGUGGCAGUGAUAUCUGAGUAUUGGUGGCAGUGAACACUACGGACCUUUUAUUCUCAAGGUGUCAAAUAGACAUGCAUAAUUCUUUGGUAUUAGUUUGCUUUUGUAGAAAUAUGGAGAACUGGGUGUAUGGAUAUUUGUAAUAUUAAAAACUACUUAUCUUUUGUAGGACCUCUUUGGAUGGUUUGUCCAGAGGUUUGUGGUGAGACUCAAUUGGGGUUUAAAUUUUAGUUGAUUUUCUACCAUUUUUGUAAAUAUAUAUUGAAUGAUACUGCCCUGAAAAUUAGCCUUUUAAAGGAGAUAUCAGAGGGAUUUGUUAAUGUUAGAUUAUGUUUGUAUCUAUGUUGGAGAAGUUGCAAAUUGGUAGUGCAGCUUCUUAAUACUUGAUGGUGGCUGCUAGGCUUCCAUUUUUGCAACCCACUUUUGUCCUACAUAUAUUAGUAUUCCACAAUAAUGAUGCACUAACACAAGUGAUGUUACAGACUCAGGGACAAGUGUCAGGUCCAGGUCUAGCUUUUGUUUCAGAUAGAUCUGAUUCCCAAAUUUUUACAUUUAUAGUUGGUUGAAUCAUAAAAAUGUCCAAAUUUAAUCAAUGUCUUCCUUAAGAUAAAAUGAUAUUUCUCUGUUACAUAGCUUGUUUGACAUUGGAACUUGAUACUUUUUGAAACAUUUAUUGAUGAGGAUAAAGCAGGAAGCUAUCCUAGGGAAGGAACUUGUUCUUGUCUUCAUUUGUUGUAUACUUCUGCUGCUAAUGUCUGAUAGUGGAUUGGCUUGUUUCAUAUUCACAACCCAUACCCGUGUAAUGUUGAAACAUAGAGCAAAUGCGAUGGUGCAGAUAGAGUGCAUAAGCAAUGUUACUGCUUUCAUCUGGAAGUAUUACCAAUGCAACAUAAGUAGAAAGUAACUCAGAGCUUUCAUAAGGUCUUUGAACAAUUUUUUCCUUGGAUUUAAUGUUGUUUCAUUUUUUGGUUUGUAAUUUUAGAUAAUGGCCUUAUUGAACAUAGACAUAUUAGUCCUUGUUGGAUUUAGCUCCAACACUGCUUAUUAGCUUGGAAGCUUCUUGUAUUAGUAUAAUCAUAUACCCUAAUAUGGCCAGCAGAAGAAUAAAUUAUUUUUAGCUUUAAAAUGCUAUUCUUUACUUGUUCAGGUUAGUAAUGCGCAUAGUUGGAAGUGUAUGGACCUUUAUGUCUUUGCAACUCCAUACCAAGUGACAUGGGAUUACUACUUUUUGUCUCGGGAGCAUACCGUUCAAUUUGAUGCAUGGGAAGAAAAAGCUGAGUUUGAAUACGUAAGUUACUACUGGAUAGCACUUACUACCUCUUCUAAUUGUUUCUUAGUAUUUAUUCCUGAUUCAUAAUAUAUCCUUACUUUCUACUAAAUCAGGUGAAAAACGAAGGGGUUUCAGUUUUUCUCAUGCACGCUGGGAUGCGGGGAACCCUUGAAGCUCUCUGGGAUGUCUUCCCAUUAUUCACAAAUACUGAAUGGGGUGAGAACGCAAACCUUGGGUUUCUCAAGAAGCAUAUGGGGGCUUCAUUUCAAACACGUCCUCAGCCAUGGGUUACAAACAUUAGUGUUGAUGACAUUCACUCUGGAGAUUUCCUUGCAAUAUCAAAAAUUCGUGGACGGUGGGGUGGUUUUGAGACUCUAGAGAAGUGGGUCACGGGAUCUUAUGCUGGUCAUUCCGCAGUUUGCUUAAGGGAUUCUGAAGGGAAGCUAUGGGUUGGUGAAUCAGGACAUAGAAAUGAAAAGGUGAACCCUUACAAUUUUCUGAAUCAUGUGACAAUGAAGUAGUAGAAUUAUAUCAAACAUAAGCUCUUACUGUCAACAAUUUUUCAUACUGUUUCAAUUGGUAAUAUUUUCCAAUUUCUUUUUACUAUUUUAAAUUUUUUAACAUGUUUUUUCCUGUAUAUCUAUAGGCACGGGGCUAUUUUAAGGCUAUUCUGUUGCUACGAUGGUGUUUCAGUUGAAAAUGUCCUAUGAGCUGCAUUACGCAGUCAUGUUGCAACCAAGACAGCUCUAGCAAUAAUUCCUUUUCUUUAAACUCUUUAAUUUUAGUGCUGCACUUAUUGUUUACUUCAUUUAUUAAUUUGGUGUUUUCCCCAUUUGCUGACCAAUCCUUAAACUAUUUGGGUAUGCCAAGGUUGACUAUUUCUUAUUCUUCUGCUUGCAUUACAUCUAGAAAGUUUAAAAAUUACCACAUUUUGUAUACAAUAAUUCAAUGUGGGAUUUGAGAGAGGGAAAUAAUUUUAUUCAUCAAAGAUUCUUUUGGAUCAUUAUGUUUACAUGAGUUUCUUAUCAGAUGAUACAAACUACAGUCCUUACCAGAUAAUAUAAGUUACAUACUUUUGUUUUAAUAGAAAUAAGCUUCAAUUUUUUGGUCCUUUUCUUUUAAAUUAUUAACAGAGAUUGAGUGGCAUUUUUUUUUCUUGAAGAAUAUUUUUUUUCCUUAUUCAAUUUUUUGUACUUCUCUAAGACAUUAACCUUAACUAAUAAUUAGGUAUGGGCACUCAUAUGCAACUAUGAUUUUGAGUUAAUAAAAAAUGGUGCUUUACAUUUUUGUUCUAGGGAGAAGAUGUUAUUGUAACAUUACCAUGGGACGAAUGGUGGGAUGAUGCACUAACUCAAGAUGAUUCCAAUUCUCAUAUUGCGUUGCUUCCUUUGCAUCCUCACCUCCGAGCCAAGUUUAAUGAGACAGCUGCCUGGGAGUAUGCACGUAGCAUGGAAGGCAAACCUUAUGGUUACCAUAACAUGAUAUUUAGCUGGAUAGAUGCUCUGGAUGAAAACUAUCCACCCCCCUUAGAUGCUCAUGUGGUAUUGUUUUUCUCUAUUGUUUCUCAAAUUAAGCAACAACAUGCAAUUAAAACAAGAGUCAGAAAUGUUUCUCAGAUUUGGAUUAUUUUUUUAAAGGUGCUCUGCUAUCAUCUUAUGUAGUUUCAUACAUUUUAGUAUGCUGCUGCUCCCUAUCAAACACCCCUCUGCCAACCAAAAAAAGCAGAUCUUGGUGGAUCAACCAGAUUGCUGGUAGUGUAAAAGUUUUAUUUUCAACUAAUCAGCUUUGACUGUUUGUUUUAUGUGGCAUAGGUUGCUGCAGGUAUGACAGUUUGGAAUCAAAUGUGGCCUGCAUAUGCUGCUAACUUAUGGAAUGAGGCCUUGAACAAGAGGCUUGGAACUCAGGUAUUUAAUUAGUUGUUCUUCACCUUGCUUGACCAUUCACAAAUUAUCUUACUGAUGUGUUGGUUUACUGAUAUGGCAUUCUAAUGUCAAAAAUGAUAAUGUACAUGGUUGUUAAUUCGUCACCUUUUUCAUUGAUGAAUAACAUAUGGAACAUUUUGAAGCCCUUGAGGCCAAGCACACCUGGCAAGGGGUUGGGUUGAGGAUAUGGAAGGUUCUAGGUGUGAGUCCCAGCAUGGGCAAGAAAAUAAAUCUUAUUCAUAUAGAGGAAAAAACAUAUUGAACAUCUGAAUCUUUGAUGUAUAAUUGGUUGGAAAAAUAAAGUUCACCAUGUAGACUGCAUUAGGAAUUUGGGACUUGGCAUUUAAGGAUCCUCCUAAGUAUCCUCGGUCUGACGUAGAUAUCAUCAUGGCUGAUCUUAAAAAUCAAGUCAUCAGAAAUCUUGUAGUUUUAGAAAAAGUUAUAUCUAAUGGUUGCAAUCAUACUUGGUAUUGUUGAAUGUUAGAUUUGAAAUAAGAAAAAUGUCUAGUUGAUUUUUCUGAGAGAAAAAGGAAAAAUUGUUCUUGUUCUUAGCAUCCGAUGUAACUUUUUCCUUAAUGCAGAACCUUUCUCUUCCUGAGAUUCUAAUUGAAACUGAAACGCGUGGAUCGUCAUUUGCUGAAUUGCUGACAAUUCCUGAGCAGGAUGAUUGGGUUUACACUGAUGGAAAGUCAACAUCUUGUGUUGCUUUCAUUCUGGAAAUGUAUAAGGAGGCAGGAUUAUUUGGUCCAAUUGCUAGCUCUAUUCAAGGAACUGAGUUCACGGUGAGUCAAAGCAAUACAGAGUUUGCUAGUCCUGAUUAAAAGAAGUCACCAUUUAGCAUUAUCAUGAUAUAUUUUGGUUAUCAGUAGAUAAAUGUUAUGAAGAAAAUUGAACAUAAAUUAUCCAGCAUCAAAUGAUUAGGAUGAUCUGAUCCUAGUGGUUUUGGGGUUGAAGGUUUUCUGAACCAGAUAAAUGAUCCGUGUUCCUGUUUCACAUUCCCUCCUUAGUCUGCAUCGGAACUUAACUUAUAAUGUUCCCAAAUCAAAGUGUUAAGCAAUCUGAUUUAGUGGGUUGUUUGUGUAAAAAAGCAGAGUUAUUGCUGUCUUGCAUAUGUCUCAAUUUGUUUUAUUUCCAAAAAUGCAGAUAAAAGAUGCAUACACACUGAGUUUUUUUGAAAAUGAUUCAAGCCGCCUGCCAAAAUGGUGCAAUGAUGGGGACAUUGUGCAGCCUUAUUGUCAGAUAAAAGGAAAGUAUCGAAUGGAAUUGCCAGAGUACAAUACCCUGGAUCCAUACUCUCAUAUGAACGAAAAAUGCCCAUCCCUGCCUCCAAAAUACUCGAGGUCUGCAAAUUGCUGAAAAGGAUGAAAGGUUGUAGGUUUUAGAAUCAAGAAGUGUUAGAAGCAACAAAAAAAACUAUAUUUGAGCUAGCGAAAAUGUCUACUCUUAUUGAAUGAUCAAUGCAACAUUUAUACACAAGUUUGUAACAGAAAACAACAGAAAAGCAGCAAAAAUAGCUAUAUGUUGGGACUAACAGCUAUUUCCUUUAAAAUAGCAACAGCUACAUAACAGUUAUUAAGCUCCAUGAAACUCUAUCAGCUUCAUUGACUAAGUUUUUCAUGGUUGCAGCCUCAAUUUCAGCAUCUCUUUACACCUCAGCAGCUUUCUUAACAGAUUCGCUUUCACACGACUUCCGGCAUGUUUGUAGGUACUAAGGCAUUUUACUCAACACUCCUCCUUGACUUAGGAGCUACAAACUCCAAGUCUUUUAAUGAGAAAUUCAAACCUAGCUCUCGGUAGGGCUUUUGUUAGAAUAUCAACAUUUUGUACUUCUGUUUUACAAUGUUCCAAAUUUACUUCUCAAUCCUGCCGUAUUUCCCUUAAGAAAUAAAACUUGAUUUUUAAGUGCUUUGUCCUGCCAUGGAAUAUUGGAUUACUUGCAAUUUAAAUUGCAGCCUGAUUGUCAACAAAGACUUGUGUGCUUCCAGUUUGCUCCAUGUUUAGGUCUGUUAGCAGCUUUCUUAUCCAAAGUGCUUGAUUUGCAGCUGCAACAACAAUGUACUCUGUUUCGGCUGUGGAUUGUAGCACGAUAUCCUGUUUUUUAGAACACCAAAAGAAAAAACCUGAACCAAAACUGAAGCAAUAACCUGAUGUGCCUUUUAUAUAUCUCACAACACGUUUUGCUGCCUGCAAGUGAAUUUCACUAGCACAAUGCAUGUAUCUUGAGAGUAGACUUACAACAUGUACUAUAUUUGGCCUUGUUGCAGUCAAAUACAUUAGGCAUCCAAUCAUGCUUCUGUAUAACUCUUCAUCUACUUUUUCAGCACUAUUUUCUUUACAAAACUUUUCUUUUUGAUUCAUAGGUGUUGCUGUGGGCUUGCAUUCCUCCAUCUUGAACUUUUUGAGUUUCCUUUGCAUACUUUUGCUGACAGAUGAAUAUCUCGUGCUGAUUCUGAUGCACUUCCAUUCUCAAGAAAUAAGACAUGUCUCCAAGAUCUGUCAUCUCAAAGACCUCCUCCAUUUCAGCUUUGAAUUUAACCAUUAAACAUUGAUUGCUCCCUGUUACAAGCAAAUCAUCAAUGUAUAAUGAAACAAUAAGUAUGUCAGAAUUAACUUUUCUAAUAUAAAGUCUGGAUUCACUUUUGACCUUUUUUAGACCCCAGACUAAGCAGAUGUGCAUUAAUCCUGCUGUACCAAGCUCUGGGGGCUUGCUUUAAGCCAUACAAGGCUUUCUUUUGUUGAUAAACCUUGUCUUCUUUCCCUUUUACUGCAAAUCCUUUAGGUUGUCCCACGAAGAUUUCCUCCUCAAGGUAGCCAUUUAGGAUGGCUGAUUUUACAUCUAGCUGACAUAUUUUCCAACCUUUUUGAGUAGUCAAAGCUAGCAGCAUCCUUAUUGUAUCCAACCUAGCUACAAGUCCAAAGGUCUUUGAAAAAUCCACAUCGAACAUUUGAGCAUAACCUUUGACAACCAGCCUGGCUUUAUGUUUGUUUACAUAACCAUCAAAAUUGAGUUUGGUCCUAUAAACCCACUUGACACCAAUGGCCUUUUUAUGUGUUGGUCUGUCAACUAGCUCUCAAGUGUUUUUUUAUCUCUAUCAUGUUGAGUUCCUCCUGCAUUGCAACUCUCCAUUUUUGAUCCUCGGCAGCUUUAGUAAACCCUGCAGGCUUAAACACAACCACAUUACACCUUUGAUAAAUAUCAGAAAGUGAUCUGGUGCCUUUUAUAGGAAUGUCAUUAAUAUUUUCAUCAAGGAACUCGAGAUUCUGAUUUUUUUAGCAUCCUAGCUCCAUUUAUCAUCCUCCGUGAAUUUGACAUCUCUGCUGACAAUGACUUUGUCACCAUGAGGCAUAUAGACUCUAUAAGUCUUUGAUUGGCUGCUGUAUCCUACGAAGAUCCCAGCUUUAAUAGCCAACCAGUUAUUAGUAAUGAUGAAUGAAAAAACCUAGCAAAGAGUGAAGACCCAUAUUGUACAACGAUUUAUAUUAGCACGUUGUAGGUAUGACCAUAUGGGUUAGUGAUACCUCAUCCUUGCUCAGCAUCUGUUUGUUUGUUUGUCUAUCUCUUUGCUUUCUCACAUGUGUGCACACAUACAUAUAUGUGGUGAGUUGGGAUGACUUUAUUGGAUUGGAGCUUGGUGAAAAAUUGGUGAGAUCCGUAAGACAUUGAGCCCCAAAUUUUAGACUUGGUGAAUUGUGAGAGUCUGAAAAUUUUGAUCAACAUCUUGGCGCAAUAAUCCUUUUGUUUAUUUGGAUGAGUUUUGGUCUGAAUGAUAGAUGAUUUCGGUUUUGGGAGUUUGGUGAAAGAUUAAAAAAUAAUUUGAAUAAUGAAACAGGCAGAAUAUGUUGUAGCCUCGAAAGAAUUCUAAUGGAGGUAGAAGGUUGGGAUUUGGAGGAAAAUUUAAAUGACCUCAUUAAGCACUAGUAUGUGACCUGUUUGCUAAUCCCUAUUUUCAAAAGUAUAAAGUAAUGCUAUGAAUGUAGAAGUUGAAGAUACUGAAUUAGCGGAUCAAGCUGUUUUACGGUCUUUUUUGUACAUGUUUUCAGAUUGGGUUAGGAUGUAUGUAGAUUGUUCAUCAUGGUCCAUUUUCGAUUUCAAUGAUUGGUUGGGAUGUAAGUAAGGGGGUGAUUUUUUGCUAUUCCUUUUCUUUUUGGCCUUGUUGCCUUGUAUACAUCAUGUAUACUUUCAGGGGAAAAAAAUGAUGAUAUUUCAUUGUUUGAUGUCGAAAAUAUGAAAUUGUACUGAAGUUGAUAUGGUUGGUGCAGAAUGACAUUCGCAAGAACCCUGCUUUCAGAUCACAGUUCCAUGAGAUGUGCGCUAAAGUAGGAGUAGACCCCUUGGCAUUGAAUAAAGGAUUUUGGGUAGAGCUAUUAGGAAUUGGUGACUUCUAUUAUGAACUUGGUUGGUUUCAAUCUACUUGAUGGUGCACCUCUUGAAAUUUAUUUAAAAAGAAGUCUCUGACCUCUGAUCUGCCAUUUCUUUAAAAUAUAUGUUAUUUUGUUGAUUAUUCUGAGACUAGUUUGAAUGCAUGUGUUACUUUUUCAUGCUAUAAUUAAUGCAUGUUGUCAGUGUGCGUAUUCUAAACAACAUUUUUUUCUUGAUAGGAAACCACGCGUGAAUAUAUUGAUAGAAAAAGAAGUACAAAAGGAGGAUGAGGAAUCCUCCCGCCAAAAGUAAAACUAAACAACAUGAAAAAAUAACAAUACACUAGGCCGUCCCAUUGGAACUAUUGGAUCUACACACUGCUAGCCAAUCAAGUUGUAAUACGUUAAGGGGGAUGCCCUUAAAACCCGCUGAACAAAAAGCCCAAAAGGAUGCAAGGAAAUGAAUGGAAUCCCAAAGAUUCUCUGAAUUCCUAGUUUUGUCCUCAAAUAUCCUAACAUUUCUUUCCUGCCACACAACCCAGAUUAACGCUAUACUCGCGUUUUGCCACAGAAUUACCCCUCUCUUGGACUUGCCAAAUCCUUUAUAAUUGAUGAACAUCAUGUCUGAAAUGCUUUUCGGAGGUACCCAAUCCAUCUUGGCUAGCUGAAAAAGUCUGUGCCACAACCCCAACGUCACUGAACAAUGGAGAAAGAGAUGAUCUGCUGAUUCUCCUUGCUCCAUACACAACUUACAUAUGUCAAGGUUAAUAGCUUUGUGGGGUCUCCUCAAUUGUCGCAAGUCAUUGGUAUUUACCUUUUUGUGUGUCACAAGCCAGACAAAGGCCUUAACUUUGAAAAGGACUUGAGAUUUCCAUACAAACUUAGUGGGGAAAAAUGGAGAUGAAUUAGGCAUUUGGGACAAGGCUGUAAAGAAAGACUUAACUGUAAACAAUCCUGAAGACAAUAAGGACCAUGAUCUCGCGUCUGAAGCGGAAGUGGAUAAGUUCAUACAAUCUAGAGAGUGCAUGAGGCGUUCUAGAUCUUCUAUCUCAGAAUCGGUUAGAUUACGACAGAAAUUAAAGUUCCAUGAGAAAGGGCGAGACGAACCGAGAAUUGAAGAUAUAUGAAUAUUUUUAUCCAUUACUACUCGAUAUAGUCUUGGAUGUUGGUCUUUAAAGAUUUGGUCCCCCCACCACAAAUCUUCCCAAAAGCGAAUUUUUUCCCCAUCUCCUAUGAUAAACCGAGUAUACUUGGAAAAAUCCUAAAAGACUUGUGCAAUGGCCUUCCAAGGACAGCGGUGUGACCAUCUAACUACAGUAUUGGCAUCCCAACCAUUUGAGUGUGUCCCGUAUAUGCUAAGAAUGACCUGAUGCCAUAGAGUUGUACUUUCCCUAGGAAACCUCCACAACCAUUUCCCUAAAAGAGCGUGAUUCCUUAAAGGUAUCUUCCCAAUCCCUAAACCCCCUUUAACCCUCGGCUUGCACACUGCAUCCCACCUAACAAGAUGAUCUCUUUUGCCUUCCUCAACCCCUGACCAAAGAAAGUCCCUUUGCAUUCUCUCAACUUUUGCAACCACUGAAGUUGGAAUCUUAAACAGAGAAAGGAAGUAGCUAGGGAUAUGGGAAAGGUAAGAGUGUAGGAGAGUUAGCCUACCACCUAAAGAUAAGUAAGCCUUUUGCCAUCCGUCUAAUCUCCUAGAGAUUCUCUCAAUCAUUGGAUCCCAGAAUCCACAAGUAGUUGGAUUCCCUCCCAAAGGAGGAUCCAGAUAAAGUAUGGGUCAAUCUGAAGCCUUGCAGUCAAGCAUCAAGGCUAACCUAGAGAGAUGAUUCUGAUCAAGGUUGAUGCCAAAAAGAUUACUCUUGUCAAGAUUGACCUUAAGCCCAGAGAUUUGACCAAACACUAACAAUAAACUCUUAAGAGUUUGCAAUUCUUCCUGGGGGAAGAUCCGAAUAGACGCAUUUGGAUGGAUAAGGUUCCAAAAAAAGUGUCUUUUUUUGCUUGGGAAGCUUCGUGGGGGAAGAUCCUCACCUUGGAUAAGCUUCAAAGAAGGGGGUGGCAGCUCCCUAAUCGGUGUUUUUUGUGCAGCUGCGAAGAAGAAAAUGCGAAUCAUAUUCUUUUACAUUGUACAGUGGUUAAGACUAUUUGGGAGAUUACCCUUGUCAUCUUCAGAGUUCAAUGGGUGUUCCCAAAGUCAGUUAUAGAGGUGUUACUUAGCUGGAGGGGUUCUUUUGUGGGAAAAAAAGAAAAAAGAUAUGGAAUUCCAUCCCGUUGUGCAUAUUUUGGACGGUUUGGAAGGAAAGGAAUAGGUUAGCUUUCAGAGGAGGGUUGUUAGAUAUUCAGAAAUUCAAAAAUUUUUUUGUUUGUAACUUGUGGAGUUGGGCUAGGGUGUACAUUGGUGAGGAAACCUACUCUCUUUUAGGCUUUUUGGAGUGGCUUGCGACCACUUGAGGGUGGGUGAGGUUUAUCCCCUUUUUUCUUUCAGCUCUGUUUUUUGGGCUUUUCUGUAUACCCCUAUAUACGUGCGGCUUCUUAGCCUUUUCUAAUAUAUUUGGUUGUUUAUCUAUCAAAAAAAAGAGUUUGCAAUUCUUCCUUUCUAGGGUUAGCAAGAGGAUGGUAUCGUCCCAUCUGUUUCUACCUAUCUUGAAGCCUUCCAGCAAAUUUCUUGCCUCAACUUUCAACAACAUUCUACUCAACACAUCUGCAACAAUAGUGAACAGGAAAGGAGAUAAAGGGUCACCUUGUCUUAAACCUCUAGAUGCCUUGACCCACCCUUUAGCAUUACCGUUCACUAGAAUAACAUAAGAGACUGACGACAGACAACCUCUCAUCCAACUCCUCCAUUUAGAACUAAAUCCCUUCUUCUCCAACACGUGAUCCAAAAAAUCCCAUUUCACAUGGUCAUAAGCCUUUUCAAAGUCUAUCUUGAAUACAACUCCCUCCUUCCCUGAUCGCCUUUUCUCGUCCACAAUCUCAUUGGCUAUAAGAACUGCAUCCAGAAUUUGUCUCCCUUGAACAAAAGUACCUUGAGUGGAGUGGAUGGUCUCGUGUAGUACUCCUCUUAGUCGCCCUGACAAGACUUUUGCUAUUACCUUAUAUAGACAAGUGAUCAGACUAAUAGGUCUAAAAUCCGAAAUCUUCUUUGACUGACUCUUUUUGGGCAAAAGGACUAUGAAGGAAGUAUUGGUGUUUUGAUUAAUAAUCCCGCUAUUGUGAAACUCUGCAAACACCCUCACUAAGUCUUCCUUGAUCACAUCCCAACAAUCCUGAAACACUGCUAUGGUGAAACCGUCAGGCUCCGACGCCUUAUCCCUAUCUAACUGAAAGAUGACAUUAAAGAUCUCUACUUCAGCGAAAGGGGAAUCCAGCCUUGAAGCACUCUCUUCUGAUAUAGGGGACCAAUCAAUACCUUCUACUCUCCAUGACUCACCAGGAGGACUCGAGUAGAGCUUUUUGAAAUAAAGUAAUAUCUCUUCUGUGAUGCUCUCGGAAUUAUCCAACACCAAACCUCUUUCAUUUUCCAAGAAUUUGAUGAAAUUCCUGUUUCGUCUCCCAUUAGUCAUUUUGUGAAACAACUUUGAGUUACAAUCCCCGUCCUUAACCCAUUUUACCUUAGCUUUUUGUCUCCAAUGAAUUUUUUCUCUCAAAAUUAGUUCCUCUAGCUCCCCUUUUCUUACAACUCUUUGAGCUGCAAGAUCAGAAGAGAGAGCCCCUUCUUGUUCAAUGGCAUCAAUGUAAGCUAUUUCAUCCAAUAUGGUUUUUUUCCUUUCCUUAAGCAUUUCAAAAGUAUUCUUAUUCCAAUAUUUCAAUUUUGCCUUAACGAAUUGUAACUUCCUAGUGAACUUGUGACCUUUCUAACCAUUUCCUUCAAAUUCUCUCCACCAACUGCUAAAGCACUCUUUGAAACUAUGAUGUUGCAACCACAUAUUCUCGAACCUAAAAGGUGUUGGGCCCCACUUGAACGGAUUGGUAUCCAAGACAAUCGACCAAUGAUCCGAUGUCCAUCUAGGAAGAACUUCUUGAAGGCUUUGAGGGAAGGAAAGCUCCCACUCAUUUGAAUAGAAAAACCGAUCCAAUCUCUUACACACCGGUGACUCUUGCAUGUUUGACCAAGUAAAAGAGGCAUUCCGUAAUGGGGGAUCAUGUAAUUCGCAUUCUCUUAUAAAACCAUCAAAAUCCCUCAUGCUGGAAGUGAAUCCAGAUCCCUCCAGUUUUUCUGAUCUUCUCCUUAUAACAUUGAAGUCACCUCCCACACACCAUGAAGGAUAAGUAAGGCAAAAAAGGUCUAAUAACUCCACCCAAAAAUCCUUCCUAAUUGAGGGAUUGUUUGGCCCAUAGACUGCGGACAACCACAAUGGUCCGCUUCCAUCCAACAAGAACUUGACUGAGACGGAAAAGGAUCCUAUUACCACCUCCUCACCGCUCAUUUUUUUUGAGUUCCAAAUGAUCAAAAUCCCUCCUGAAGCCCCGCACGUCGGGAGAAUAACCCACUCCUUAUUCCUAACCGACCAGACACUAUUUACAAACUUUCUGUCGCACACCUUUCUUUUUGUUUCCUGAAACAUCACUACAUUCGGAUUCUGAAGUCGCAAAAAUUCCUUAACCACCCUCCUCUUUUUCCUAGAUCCCAGCCCCCUUAUAUUCCAGCUUAUGAUCCUCAUAAUAACACCUCACUGUCCCUAAAUCUCCAAACCAUCACCACCAAAGCUCAAUUGCCUAUGGCAAUUCUGUUCUUUCGUCUUGAAUACACCUUAAUAUCCAAGGAGCUUAAGACCUCACAAACUUUAGCCAUUUUGCUGGGGGAAAGACCUUCUAUUUGGAACCCCCCUCAUCUGGGAGAAUUCUGAGUCUCCCUGGCUUACUGCACCCAGAAUAGGGGCCCCAUGAGGCGAGUUGGGAUUGGUCCUAUCAUACUUAAAGCUCUCAGACAUCAGAUUCAAUCUAGCCAGCUGGGACACCGCUUCAACAUGAUUAGGAUUGCCAACAUACCCAAGACGAUAAUCCCCAACGACAUUUUUUUUUGAACAACUUUCAGUUAACACUCGGUCUUUCAUAGGAAACUGGGAAUGAAAGGCUGAAAUGGAGAGAUCGGGAACAGAAGGACUUUGGUAUGGAGGAGCCACACCAGAGAAGGGAGACCGUAAAGGCAGAGAAGGCUGAGAAGAAUGGUGAGAAGAUACCUGGAAAAUUCCCACUUCCGUCAUUCCACAGUACCCCUCAAAGAUAAGCCCUUUUUCUUUGUUUGCGGGAUAAGAAGGAUGAUCUGAGACUGAAGAUCCACUAUGAGAAUAACCCGCAAAGCCCUUAACACCUGCUCUGUCUUCUCCUAUAGCAUUAUUGCGCAUUUUCUCCUUCUCUUUUGACAUAAAAGGAGCCCUAAGAAUAUUCCUUUGUUCCUCGAUUUCCUCUGUCGGCGUCGUUCCUUCCUCGAAACACCCUUGAACCAACUGUGAUCCCGCCUCGGAGGCUUCUUCCAAUGGAAGAGUAUCGCUACCUGUCGGCGAUCUCUCAGUCGUGAGUGGCUCUCCUCGGCUUCGAUCCCCUUGUCGGCAUGCAGAGCUUGAUGGAAGUAGAACAUUCCACAGCUUCUUUGAACCACACUUCACCGUGAAGCCCCUCCGUUGAUUUUCAGAUUCCUCGUAGCCUACCUUCGCCUUCCCCUUUGCAGAGUGAGUAGCUCUGUGUGACGGGCCCUUUGACAAUCUGUCUUGCUUGCCUCCCAUCUCUUGGCCCAGCGACUGAAUCGGGCCUAUUCUAAACAACAUGCAUGUUGUCAGUAUGAUUCUUGCACAGUGCAGUUCAAAUGAAAUUUUGUAUUGGGGAGAAGUGAGCAGAAAUGUUCUCCAGGAGAUGUUGCAAGGGCACAAUUGACCCAAAUUCUGAUCUUAGAUUAGAAUUUGGAACAUAAAUUAUGAAUCAAUUUGUUGCGUAGGUUAAGAUUCCUCUGUGCAUUUAUCUUCUCUAUUUUCUAUUAUUAAUGAAUCUUUAUUGCAUAUUGAAACUGGGUGAUAGCUUUUUGUAGCCCCUGAUAUGAAUGGAUAAAAUGUGUGGGUACAUACAUGCAAAUAUGCAUACCUACACACUCACAGACUCCACAUCAUAUAUUUGGAUAAAUACUUACCUUAUCUUUUUGAUAAGUACCUAUAAAAAAAAAAAUAUAUUUGGAUAAGUACUUUACUUUGCAUACCACCUCAGCCCCUGCCCCAAGGAAAAAGAAAAAAAAAAGGCAAAACUUUAAGCUACUUCAAUUACCUUAAUGAAACACCAUCGCCUGUGUGUGCUGCAACCUCUAAAGAACUGCUGAUUCAGUAUUCAUGCUUCCUGCAGUUUCAAAUAAUAAUGUCCUUUUUAGUGGUUUGUUUGAGAUAAAACUUUCUUAUUUAUAUUGAAUUGAAGAUAUCCAUAAAAAAAUGGAUAUUGAAUUAAAGAUUCUUAGGGAAUAUUGAUUCUAUUUUCUGUAAAUAUUUAUCAACCCAAUUUCAGAGAUGAAACUUACUUUUGUUUGUGAGUAUACUUGGCUAGACAGGUGUGCAAAUUGUUGACAUAUGCUUAGCGACAAGAGUUCACAAUGGAGGUUUCAUUGACUUGCAGGAACUGUGCAAUUUGCUUUGCCAGAGACGUAAAAGUUGCUCAUGGAGCUGUAUCUGAGGAUGACUGCUUGCGUGCCAUAAGUAAGCUGAAGGUAUUGUAGUUGAUUCUCUCUCUUAAUGUUUCACAGCAUACUAUGUUUAUGGAGCAAGUGCUCUGAAAUGGCUUGAAUUCUUGGUAUAUGCUUAAGAUCUGCAUGGGUGGUGGUAGGGUUUUGGAAUCUGAUGUGAAGAUGUGUUGCUUAAUUCAAAGUUCUUAAAACUAAGAAGUCUUGAGGAAAUCAAGUAAAGGAUGAGAGACAUAGUCUAUGACCCUGCACCUUUCCCAUAUUCAUUCAAAUAUAGUUUAAGAGUGUGUUUAGUGUGCCAGUAUCCAAAUUAAGAGUUGGAAAUCAUAUUUCUUAAAAUAAAAUCCCAAAAUGCAUUGAAUCUGAGAUUUUUUAUCCUAACAUUUAGUUAAAGUUGAAUUAGAAAUUUCACUUACAUUUUAUUCCAAUCCUAGGCUUUUGAUCUUAUAAAUUCCUGAAAUUAUUGUCAAUCUACAUGAUAAUCCCACAAAUGGUAUUAACAAAAAUGGGUUUAGUUAAAAAUAUAAAAAGAAAUAAAUAUGAGGUGUGUAUGUUUCUUUUAUCUUCAUCCCUGAAGAAUAUGAAUAAAAGAAUAGGCAAUCUUAAAUAGGUGAGGGAAUUUCACAUCCAAGGAAAUCAAAACUUUCAUACAAUGACUAUUAUCAUCUUGCCUCCCAUCUUGCUCCACAGCUCAACUAGAUAGAUGUGAUACCAGCGUCGCACAGGAAUGUUUUGGUCAAAAAAAGAAAAAAAGAGAAAGGGUAAACAAAACUUUUAUAAUUAUGCACGUUUUUUUUUUUUUUUUUUUUUGAUAGAUAAACGAUCAGAAUAUAUUAGAAAAGGCUAAAAAGCCGCAUGUAUACAGGGGGUAUACACAAAUGCCCCAAAAGGGGAACCGAACAAAAAAGAGGGAGAACCUCACCCACCCUCAAGUGGCCGCAAGCCACUCCAAAAAGCCUAAAAGAGAAUAGGUAUCCUCACCAAUGUACACCCUAGCCCAACUCCACAAAUUACAUACAAAAAAAUUCUUGAAUUUUUGUAUAUCUAAAGACCCCCCCCUAAACGCUAACCUAUUCCUUUCCUUCCAAACCGUCCAAAAAAUGCACAAUGGAAUGGAAUUCCAGGUGUCUUUUCUUUUUUUCCCCACAAAAGAACAUGCUAAACCCAUAAUUUGAUAUAGGAUGCCAUUCCCCUAUUAAAGGUAAUUGUGUCAAAAUAUUGUAUGAAUGGCCGAAUCCCUUGACCUUGAGUUUUGUAUAUUAUAUAUAGACUUUACAAGGAUGCUAUACAUGGAAAGCAAAUAAAAACAAAUAAAUUCCCGCAUGAUUCUAGCCCUAUACAUGUAAACUAUAAUCUGUCAAAUAAUAUAUGUUAACUGUACAGAAUAAUAAAUGGAGAAAUAAAGAAACAAUUGUGGGCUAAAAUAAGGAAAGAAGAAAUGUGGACAGCAAGUUGUCCUUUGACAGCCCCCCUCAAAUUGAUGCAGGUUAAUCAACAAGCAUCAAUUUGCUACUUAGCAAGCAAUGUCGAUGACGAGGGAGAGCCUUGGUGAAGAUAUCAGCAACUUGUAAGUCAGUGGAAAUAUGUGGAAGAGUGAUAACAUGAGCUUCAAAGGUUGCACGGAUAGAGUGACAGUCCACUUCAAUAUGCUUUGUGCGCUCAUGAUAGACAGGAUUAGUCGUGAUCUGAAUAGUACUUGUAUUAUCGGCAUGUAGAGGUGUAGGAUCGGUCUCAAAAAAGUCUAACUUCACAAGCAAACCUCGAAGCCAAAUGAUUUUAGAAUAAGCAAGAGACAUCGCCCGGUUCUCAGAUUCCGUAGAUGACUUAGAGACUCUAUCUUGCUUCUUACUUUUCACAAACAUCUUAAACUAAAACUCCCUACUAAGAUAGUUUUUGCCAUUGAAACAAACAAUAGAAUAUUCUUCAGACAUUACGAAAACAGAAAUAGCCUAGGAAACAAAAAAAACAUCGUCAAAGAGCCUAAAUCUGAUAACAAACCUCCAAAUAAUCGAAGAUCUCCAAGAGCCUAGAAUCGAAGAAACCCAAAGAAAACUCCAAGAUCACAUCACAGAUGUGUUGUCACAACCACCAGAAAAAAAAGAAAAAGAACCGAAAAGCUGGGCUAGAGUCCGAGAGCCCCUAGGGCUAAAUCCGAGAGCCCUUAGGGCUAAAUCCGAGAGCCCCUUAGGGCUAAAUCCGAGAGCCCCUUAGGGCUAAAUCCGAGAAAACCUAAAGAAAAACUAGAAAGCGUGUAAACUCUAGGUUCAGAACACAAGCUCUAAUACCAUGUCAAAAUAUUGUAUGAAUGGCCGAAUCCCUUGACCUUGAGUUUUGUAUAUUAUAUAUAGACUUUACAAGGAUGCUAUACAUGGAAAGCAAAUAAAAGCAAAUAAAUUCCCGCAUGAUUCUAGCCCUAUAUAUGUAAAUUAUAAUCUGUCAAAUAAUAUAUGCUAACUGUACAGAAUAAUAAAUGGAGAAAUAAAGAAACAAUUGUGGGCUAAAAUAAGAAAAGAAGUGUGGGCUAAAAUAAGGAAAGAAGAAGUGUGGACAGCAAGUUGUCCUUUGACAAAUUGACAUGGUUGUUCACUCAUAAAAUGUAUCCUGUUUCAUUUUUCUAUUUUUUCUAUAUCUUGUAUCUUAUCAUAUCAUGUUUCCUAAGUUUUCUUACAUAAUGAAAAAUAAGAAGAAAAAAUACACAUACAUAUAUGGAAUACAUAUUUAUUGGAAGAAUAAAAGUAUAUAGUAAUGUAUAAUCAAUUUCAUGAAAGGUGGUAGGAUUUCAAGAGUUAAACUAUGUCAUACCAUAUAAAAAAAAAAAAUGAACGCUAGAGUUUUGAAAAGUUCAAUUUUACAAAAUAUGAGUUUAAUGCAUAGGUUAGUUACAAAAUCUACUAAAAUAAACUUUUUGAAAAUUCAGAUAUGAUUUUUAGUUCCAAAUUGAGAUUAGGAAUAUGUACUUACAUAUGUUUGUGAUAUGUGUGUUUUUAUGCGUGAUCACCAAAAUUUUAAUUUUUUGUGUUUUGUCAUCGUUCGUUUCUCACUAGAAAAGAAAUCUUGAAACUAAAAGAAGAAAAACUAAUUUAUUAAAUAAAAGAUUUUUAUUUACAAAUCGCCAUUAUUUCAAUGUCAAUUUUCAAAUAAUUAAAAUUGCAAUUCCCCAAUAUUCAUUGUAAGAAUAAUUUUAGUUGAACUCUCAAUAUUUUAUGUGUCUUUUAACAACAAGAAUAUAACUUCUCAUGUAUGAUUAUUUUCUCUUUUUUAUGAUCAAUUUUUAACCUUAAAGUACAUUUUAAACACAUAAUUAAUAAUGCUUUUAAGAAAAAAAAAUGUUGAAUUUGAUUAUUCUUAAAAAAACUAUGAAAAAUAGCUAAAGGUGCAUGUAUUAUUAUAUUGUUGUAUUAUGUCAUAUCAUGUAUCCUGUUUGCGUCGUCUGAUACACUUAAGAUACGGAUUGUCAAUACGUAUUUGAAUUUCAUAAAGAAUGUAUUAUAUUUUUGUAUCAUAUUGUUUAUCAUAAGUUUUUAAUGAUGGUAACUAGAAGCCAUAUGCAUCCCAAGGGAUUUCCCUGGUCAAUAGUUAACCAAUUCAAUCAAUCUCACCUCUAUAACAUUCUUCUAGAUUAAAAGAUAACUGCUCCCAUUAAACAUCUAUGGAUGGAUAUUAGGACUUUCUUGGAGCAUCUAUCAAUGAUUAAGACUUUCAUCUAAUGCUGACAUCUAUACUUGAUUUCUUUUAUUUUCAGUAUUAUUAAUUUUUUGAUAUAUAUUGGUGCCAUUACUAUUUCUUGCCAGAAGUAAAUGGAAUGUUUGCAUGGUUUGAUCAGUAGCGAACUUCUUUAAUAUAAACGUCAGGAUGCAUCUCCUAAGCAGUGUUCUUGAUGUUUAUGAUACACUGUAUUAACAUUCGGUGCUCGAACCUUUCCAGGUAUUGGGUAGUGGUUUUGAGGUGAUAUCUGUUGGAAAGCGAAAGCUUGUUAGGUCUGUCCCUACAGAGUUGAACAAAGACCAUAAUUCAAUUCUAGAGCUGGCUCAGGUUAUGAUUGUUUUCAAUUUUUCCCUUAAGACUUCUUGAUGCAAUAUUCUCUUAUAUAAAACUUAUUGCUAUUUUUUCUUCUCCUCUAUUGCUUGCCUGACAUUGUUAAAACUUUUAAAAUCCAUGCAUAUGUUAGUUUCAGAUUAUAGGACUGGUCUGAGUCAGAUUUGCUCUAUGUGUGUCAUUGGAGAGGACCAACUAUAAAGAAGUGGAUCUAUCUUUCUUAUCAUAUUUAACCACUAAGAUAUGGGGCAAAAAAUUGCAAAAAACAUGCAAAGACCUUCGUUUUAUUAGCUAAGUAGGCCAUAUUCUAAAGGUCUUCUCAUGGAAUCCAUGGACUGAGCACUUGUUUCAUGUUGUCAACCUAAAUAUGCUUGUUUUAAUAGCCAAGCAGUUAUUAGUAAUGAUGAAUAAAAAAACCUAGCAAAGAGUGAAGACCCAUAUUUUACAGCGAUUUAUAUUAGUGUGUUGUAGGUAUGACCAUAUGGGUUAGUGAAACCUCAUCCUUGCUCAGCAUCCGUCUGUCUGUCUGUCUAUCUCUUCGCUUUCUCACACGCGUGCACACAUACACAUAUAUGUGGUGAGUUGGGAUGACUUUAUUGCUGAACUAGCCUAGUUUGCUAAGGUGGUUCUGAAAAGUUGGAGACAGUGUACAAAGACUUCAUUCUGAACGUAGGGAAGUUUACCUGUGGUAAAGGUAGCUUGUUUGCUUUACUACAUGUAAAUGAAGCACUUUCAUUUAUGGCAAACUUGGGGACCUUAACCAACUGAUCGGCUCUGGUCUAUUAAACACAGAACAAAACCAUAGUUCUUUCCCUAUUUCCACUAUAAUGAUUGUCACAAUUGUGUUGCAAUUACUCUUCCUUCCAGGCUCAAGGCUUUGUUACUAUUGAAGAGGUGGAAGGACGGCUCUCCUGGCCCUCUGGGCGCGCCACUGAUGCCCUUGAAACUUUAUUGGACGUAAGAUUUUCGUUGAUCAUCAAUCAGUCCUAAUAUUCAUUUUAAUUGAUGCUCAUGAAACUCUGUUGGGUGAUGCAGGAAGGUCUUGCAAUGAUUGAUAAUGGUCACAGAGAUGGCAAACGCCGGUACUGGUUUCCCUGUGCAUCUUCACUCUCUGCUGUAGGAGCUGAUAUUCUCAAGAUUUGAUUUUUCAGCACCAUGUUUUCUGCCCUGGGCAUUGUCUGGUAAAAGGGUGUGUAUGGGAUAGGUCUAGCAUUGGAAUCCAGUAUUUUUGUUUAUUUAUCAGGAAAAAAUGCAAAAAAAUAAAAAUAAAAACCCCAUUUGUGAUAUAGACAUUUGAUGUGGGGACCUGAAAGGAAAAAAAGGGUGUUUGUUCCACCCCACAACCCCGCUCCACCACUUUGUUUUCCUUGUUACUAAUGUUUCAUCUUUUUAAAGAUGUGAUUGUCAGAACACGAAGCAUCUCUCCACGGCUAUCAUCUGUUCCAACUAUAGUUAUUCCCUUCCAUUUGAUGACUGGCAAAACAAUGAAACAGUGAAUAGUAACCCUGAAACGAACUUUAUAGAAAAGCUUUAAUUGUUUGGUUGCUAAGAAAAUGGAGAAAAGGAUGGAAGCGAUCCGGAGAUAUAACAUUAAACUGGAUCGAGUGAUUAUAGCAUGAAUGUGUUCCUCCUGGUUGUGCAGCCGAUGACCAUAUACAUAUUCACUUUUUAGGAAUGAAUCUCCAAAUUAAAUACAUGAUGCAAUUUUUUUAUUGUCCCCAAACCCUGCAAUUCUAGCAAAGAGAGGGAGAAAAAAAAAUGAUCAGUAGACUGUAGUUUGUGAAUGUGUUUCAAUCUCUUCGAUCCAGCCAAAGUUGGGCUCGCUCCAAGACCUCGGCCGCACACCAAGCUGGAAGAACAAGAUCAUCUCCAAGGCCUCAAAAACCUUAUUCUCAUCCAAGAACUCAUUCCAAACUCCGCUCACAAUACAGUAGUUGUUGUUAUAAGGUGCAUGAUGGUGGGCAGCAUGCUGUGAUCUCGACACUAGCAGUCCAGCAUCUUGCAGCGCCACCACUAGCGGAGGGAGGCGGCUUUUUGUGCCAUGAGCCCAGGCAUGGAACUGCUGGCUGAACAUAAUGCAGCCUGAGCACACCCAAACAAAGCCAUGUACAACUGGAUCAUUGAAGACAAGAUCUAGAGGAAGCACGGUAAAGGUUACAGCACGAGCCAGGGCAUGUAGAUUGUUGGCAAACUGGCGGCGGAUGAUCGUCCAGGGCCACUUGUGAUGGCCCUGGAAGGCUUCAAUCUGAGAACCAAACACAGGAGUUGAGGCAUCACCAUAGUUAUCAAUGCCCCAAUGGUAAACCCCUGAGCCAAGGUCUGCAAGCACAUAGCCAAUUAGGCCAGCCAAAACAGGUUCUAGCCACAUAUGUGAAUGGGCUGAACCCGUGGCACACUUCAAUAAAGAAAUGAGCACGGUGGUGCACCCGCUUGCCACCCACGCUCGAUGAGGCCAUGUAGAUAAUAAAUCCGGGUCCUUGAUCGAGGGGCGGUCAGGGGUUUUGGCAAUGGGGGUUGGGGUUAAGGGUCUUGGUUCAAUGACUAGUUGGUCAGCUUUGUGCUUGGCCUUUGCAGUGGAGGUGGCUGAGCAGUGGACAAGGGCGGGGAAGCGUCUAUGGUGGCGUCUUCCGACAUUGUUGGGAGACCUUAGAGAGUAGUACUUGUGGUGUGGGAAGGAGGUGGACAUUGAAGGGCGUGAGAGGCUAAGAGAAAACCCACCGCAAGAGGGAGUAAAUAAAGGUGGAAAUAGUGGCUGUGGAGAUAGAGAAAGCAGUGUGGUGUGAGA
rnacentral:lncRNA from 1 species